UACGUAGGGUGCGAGCGUUGUCCGGAUUUAUUGGGCGUAAAGAGCUCGUAGGCGGCUUGUCGCGUCGGAUGUGAAAGCCCGGGGCUUAACUCCGGGUCUGCAUUCGAUACGGGCAGGCUAGAGUGUGGUAGGGGAGAUCGGAAUUCCUGGUGUAGCGGUGAAAUGCGCAGAUAUCAGGAGGAACACCGGUGGCGAAGGCGGGUCUCUGGGCCGAUACUGACGCUGAGGAGCGAAAGCGUGGGGAGCAAACAGG
rnacentral:rRNA from 1 species